rnacentral:rRNA from 1 species
UGAGGAAUUUUGGACAAUGGGGGCAACCCUGAUCCAGCGACGCCGCGUGAAGGAUGAAGGUCUUCGGAUUGUAAACUUCUUUUAUCUGGGACUAAGAAACCUAUGGAAACAUAGGGAGUGAAUGUACCAGAGGAAUAAGCCACGGCUAACUUCGUGCCAGCAGCCGCGGUAAUACGAAGGUGGCAAGCGUUACUCGGAAUUACUAGGCGUAAAGGGCAGGUAGGUGGUUUGGUAAGUCUGUUGUGAAAGCUCCCGGCUUAACUGGGAGAGGUCAAUAGAUACUGCCGGACUUGAGUGUAGGAGAGGGUACUGGAAUUCCCGGUGUAGCGGUGAAAUGCGCAGAGAUCGGGAGGAACACCAAUGGCGAAAGCAGGUACCUGGACUAUUACUGACGCUAAGCUGCGAAAGCUAGGGGAGCAAACAGG